rnacentral:rRNA from 1 species
UAGGGAAUCUUCCGCAAUGGGCGAAAGCCUGACGGAGCAACGCCGCGUGAGUGAUGAAGGUCUUCGGAUCAUAAAACUCUGUUAUUAGGGAAGAACAAAUGUGUAAGUAACUAUGCACGUCUUGACGGUACCUAAUCAGAAAGCCACGGCUAACUACGUGCCAGCAGCCGCGGUAAUACGUAGGUGGCAAGCGUUAUCCGGAAUUAUUGGGCGUAAAGCGCGCGUAGGCGGUUUUUUAAGUCUGAUGUGAAAGCCCACGGCUCAACCGUGGAGGGUCAUUGGAAACUGGAAAACUUGAGUGCAGAAGAGGAAAGUGGAAUUCCAUGUGUAGCGGUGAAAUGCGCAGAGAUAUGGAGGAACACCAGUGGCGAAGGCGACUUUCUGGUCUGUAACUGACGCUGAUGUGCGAAAGCGUGGGGAUCAAACAGG